CCUACGGGAGGCAGCAGUGAGGAAUAUUGGUCAAUGGGCGAGAGCCUGAACCAGCCAAGUCGCGUGAGGGAGUACUGCCCUAUGGGUUGUCAACCUCUUUUGUCGGGGAGCAAAAGCCGGACGUGUCCGGCUGUGAGAGUACCCGAAGAAAAAGCCCCGGCUAACUACGUGCCAGCAGCCGCUGUAAUACGUAGGGGGCAAGCGUUAUCCGGAUUUCCUGGGUGGAACGGGGGGGCAGACGGCGAUGAAAGGCAGGAGUGAAAGCCCCGGGCUCAACCCCGGGACUGCUCAUGGAACUGCGUGGCUGGAGUGCAGGAGGGGCAGGCGGAAUUCCGGGUGUAGCAGUGAAAUGCGUAGAUAUCAGGAGGAACACCGGUGGCGAAGGCGGCUUACUGGACUGUAACUGACGUUGAGGCUCGAAGGCGUGGGGAGCAAACAGGAUUAGAUACCCGAGUAGUC
rnacentral:rRNA from 1 species